CCUCGGCAAUGGAUACAGGUGGUGCAUGGUUGUCGUCAGCUCGUGCCGUGAGGUGUUGGGUUAAGUCCCGCAACGAGCGCAACCCUCAUUGUUAGUUACUACCAUUUCAGGUUUGAAGGGGCUCUAAUGAGACUGCCAACGACAAGUUGGAGGAAGGUGGGGAUGACGUCAAAUCAUCAUGCCCUUUAUGACCUGGGCUACAAACGUACUACAAUGGCCAAUACAAAGAGAUGCGAAGCGGUGACGUGGAGCGAACCUCAGAAAGUUGGUCUCAGUUCAGAUUGAAGUCUGCAACUCGACUUCAUGAAGGCGGAAUCGCUAGUAAUCGCGAGUCAGCAGAUCGCGGUGAAUACGUUCCCGGGUUUU
rnacentral:rRNA from 1 species